ensembl:lncRNA
GUCUUUUUUUUUCAGCAGGAUGGUCAAUCUGGUUUAGUUUAGUGGUAUUAGAGUAGUUUUGGGUACUUGUAGCAUGGCCAGACUGGGAGACAAGCCAAACAAGAUUAGAUCAGUACGACUAGACCACCUUUGGCUGGAUUAAGAUCUCUCUCUCUCUCUCUCUCUCUCUCUCUCUCUCUCUCUCUCUCUUUUAAGAUGCAACAAUCUUUUUCCCUUGAUUUGAUGGUACCUCUUUCUUGGAGUUGCUGUCUCUGACAUCCCUGUUUCAGUCAGACACACACUUUACAAACCAUUUCUCUGAGGACAGGAGGACCGUGUAUUUGACAAUGAAGAGCAAGACCCCUCAUGGUACUAUUCUCUACUCCCGGGAGCAGAAUUUCGGAGACCGUUUCCUCCAUGUUUUUCUCCAAAAUGGAAGACCAGUGGCCAGGUUUUGAGUGCUGCCCCACAGAAUAUCAGGAACAAUAGUUUGGUGCUAAUUUUCAUGAGAUAUGCAUUGCCGUCUCGUGACAAUGACCGGCUCUGUAUCAUUGAGAUAGCUGUUGCUAAUGGAACUGCUAAUCGGCAGCAGAAAUACAUGGAUGAGCCUGUGUCAGAGGAAGGAUGCAUUAAAUGGAUUGAAAAGUGGUGUUUGGCCCCACAUUCCUCUCUGAGCUGCACCACAACAGUGGGGAUGUCUCUAGCUUCAUCGGCUGCAUACGUGAACUGCAGUUGGGCUCCAAAGACCUGUAUGUUGUGGGGGAAGCAAUCAGAGGCCUAA